rnacentral:lncRNA from 1 species
UAGCAAAGCAAAAGAAGUCACAAGCUGUUACAGAGUUCAAGCAUUCCGGGGUUGCACAUAAGCGACGUGCUAGGGUUCUACAAGAUCCCGGUAUGUGACAUGCUCCAGUCAACUGCAAAUGACAACCACCUGUGGAAAAUGAAUUACUCCCUUUUCAUCGGCAUAUGCCAUAUAAACUGCAACAGCUCGCCUACACCUGAUAAUGUACAGAACAACGAUGUUCAUGUGCUAAAUAGCAUGUAUCAAGUAUCUCUUGACUCUGGUUUUAACUGGAAAGAGGCUUUCCACAAUAAAAGUAUGCAGGUAAAGCUAUUCUAUAUAAAUACAUUUGAUGAACUGCAACUCACUCCCAAAAGCCAAAAUAUCAUUCAUUAA